GACGAACGCUGGCGGCGUGCUUAACACAUGCAAGUCGAACGAUGAAGCCGGAGCUUGCUCUGGUGAAUUAGUGGCGAACGGGGGAGUAACACGUGAGUAACCUGCCCUUGACUCUGGGUUAACUGCGGGAAACUGUAGCUAAUACCGGAUACGACCCUCGGAGGCAUCUCCUGGGGGUGGAAAGAAUUUCGGUCAAGGAUGGACUCGCGGCCUAUCAGCUAGUUGGGGCGGUAAAGGCUCACCAAGGCGACGACGGGUAGCCGGCCUGAGAGGGUGACCGGCCACACCGGGACUGAGACACGGCCCAAACUCCUACGGGAGGCAGCAGUGGGAAUAUUGCACAAUGGGCGCAAGCCUGAUGCAGCAACGCCGCGUGAGGGAUGACGGCCUUCGGGUUGUAAACCUCUUUUAGCAGGGAAGAAGCGAAAGUGACGGUACCUGCAGAAAAAGCACCGGCUAACUACGUGCCAGCCGCCGCCGUAA
rnacentral:rRNA from 1 species